rnacentral:rRNA from 1 species
UACGUAGGGUGCAAGCGUUAUCCGGAAUUAUUGGGCGUAAAGAGCUCGUAGGCGGUUUGUCGCGUCUGCUGUGAAAACUGGAGGCUCAACCUCCAGCCUGCAGUGGGUACGGGCAAACUAGAGUGCGGUAGGGGAGAUUGGAAUUCCUGGUGUAGCGGUGGAAUGCGCAGAUAUCAGGAGGAACACCGAUGGCGAAGGCAGAUCUCUGGGCCGCAACUGACGCUGAGGAGCGAAAGCAUGGGGAGCGAACAGG